rnacentral:rRNA from 1 species
AGAUUAAGUUAUUAAGGGCGCACGGUGGAUGCCUUGGCACUAGAAGCCGAUGAAGGACGUUACUAACGACGAUAUGCUUUGGGGAGCUGUAAGUAAGCUUUGAUCCAGAGAUUUCCGAAUGGGGAAACCCAGCAUGAGUUAUGUCAUGUUAUCGAUAUGUGAAUACAUAGCAUAUCAGAAGGCACACCCGGAGAACUGAAACAUCUUAGUACCCGGAGGAAGAGAAAGAAAAUUCGAUUCCCUUAGUAGCGGCGAGCGAAACGGGAAGAGCCCAAACCAACAAGCUUGCUUGUUGGGGUUGUAGGACACUCUAUACGGAGUUACAAAGGACGACAUUAGACGAAUCAUCUGGAAAGAUGAAUCAAAGAAGGUAAUAAUCCUGUAGUCGAAAAUGUUGUCUCUCUUGAGUGGAUCCUGAGUACGACGGAGCACGUGAAAUUCCGUCGGAAUCUGGGAGGACCAUCUCCUAAGGCUAAAUACUCUCUAGUGACCGAUAGUGAACCAGUACCGUGAGGGAAAGGUGAAAAGCACCCCGGAAGGGGAGUGAAAUAGAACCUGAAACCGUGUGCUUACAAGUAGUCAGAGCCCGUUAAUGGGUGAUGGCGUGCCUUUUGUAGAAUGAACCGGCGAGUUACGAUUUGAUGCAAGGUUAAGCAGUAAAUGUGGAGCCGUAGCGAAAGCGAGUCUGAAUAGGGCGUUUAGUAUUUGGUCGUAGACCCGAAACCAGGUGAUCUACCCUUGGUCAGGUUGAAGUUCAGGUAACACUGAAUGGAGGACCGAACCGACUUACGUUGAAAAGUGAGCGGAUGAACUGAGGGUAGCGGAGAAAUUCCAAUCGAACCUGG